rnacentral:rRNA from 1 species
UAACCUGCCCAAGAGAUCGGGAUAACACCUGGAAACAGAUGCUAAUACCGGAUAACAACAGAUGAUGCCUAUCAACUGUUUAAAAGAUGGUUCUGCUAUCACUCUUGGAUGGACCUGCGGUGCAUUAGCUAGUUGGUAGGGUAACGGCCUACCAAGGCGAUGAUGCAUAGCCGAGUUGAGAGACUGAUCGGCCACAUUGGAACUGAGACACGGCCCAAACUCCUACGGGAGGCAGCAGCG